AGCGAACGCUGGCGGCAGGCUUAACACAUGCAAGUCGAGCGGGCAUCCUUGUGGUGUCAGCGGCAGACGGGUGAGUAACGCGUGGGAACGUGCCCUUCGGUUCGGAAUAACUCAGGGAAACUUGAGCUAAUACCGGAUACGUGCGAGAGCAGAAAGGUUUAUCUGCCGAAGGAUCGGCCCGCGUCUGAUUAGCUAGUUGGUGAGGUUACGGCUCACCAAGGCGACGAUCAGUAGCUGGUCUGAGAGGAUGAUCAGCCACACUGGGACUGAGACACGGCCCAGACUCCUACGGGAGGCAGCAGUGGGGAAUAUUGGACAAUGGGGGCAACCCUGAUCCAGCCAUGCCGCGUGAGUGAUGACGGCCUUAGGGUUGUAAAGCUCUUUUCUCCGGGACGAUAAGGACGGGACCGGAGGAAUAAGCCCCGGCUAACUUCGU
rnacentral:rRNA from 1 species